rnacentral:misc_RNA from 1 species
GAAAUGCGAUAAGUAAUGUGAAUUGCAGAAUUCAGUGAAUCGUCGAAUCUUUGAACGCACCUUGCGCUCCUUGGUAUUCCUUGGAGCAUGCCUGUUUGAGUAUCAUGAAAUCUUCAAAGUAAAUCUUUUGUUAACUCAAUUGGUUUCUACUUUGGUAUUGGAGGUCUUUGCAGCUUCACACCUGCUCCUCUUUGUUCAUUAGCUGGAUCUCAGUGUUAUGCUUGGUUCCACUCGGCGUGAUAAGUUAUCUAUCGCUGAGGACACUGUAAAAGGUGGCCAAGGUAAAUGCAGAUGAACCGCUUCUAAUAGUCCAUUGACUUGGACAAUACUUUUAUGAUCUGAUCUCAAAUCAGGUAGGACUACCCGCUGAACUUAAGC